rnacentral:lncRNA from 1 species
GAAGUCAUCAGGGGGCAGCACCCUGGGCAGAAUGGUCCUGGAGCUCCUCCCCUUCUCCAGGCAGGACAGGAGCUGCAGGACUUUAUCUAAAGUACAAGACUGGGAAGGAGGACCUCUGAGAAGAGAGAAGCUGAAAAGGUGCAUCAGUGCAAUGCCUGCUGUUCGAGGAAAGCCUGAUGACUCCUUUACAGUAACAGGCAUGAAACGAAGGCCUGGCAUGCAACCAGCAUCGCACUCCCUGAGAGCCUUCCAACAAGGUGCUUCUUCCACAAACACACAGAACUGGCCCAUGCUCUCUGGCUCUCUCAGUCUCUCAGUUCCUUGACCUCCCUGUCUCCACUGAUCUACAUUCCUGCUCUAAUUUCAGUCAUCACUCCUGCUCCCCCCCACCCCCCAGAACCAGGAAGUUAAAAUCCCCAGACUCUGACCACCAGCUGCUCACUUUCCAAAUUUCAGGCCAACCCCAUGUGCCCCGAGGGUAGGGGCAAAUUUGUAAAUUCAGCUCAAUGUUAAACCAUAAACCAUUAAACCAGUUACUUAAAA